CUACAGAUUCUGCAAAAUAGGGACCGAAAUUUCUGACCUCUUGUUGCUUAACUACUUAUAACUUUCUGUUGUGAACUCAGAUUCAUACAAAGUAUGUUUUAUUCGAAGCUUGACUCAAAAUGCUUUCUGUAUAUACCUGAUUUGAAAUUUUUGGAGUACAAUUGCUAACUGAAACACCUGCUUUCAUCGACCCUAUGGAUUCAGUAAAACAGAGCUAAUAUUUUCAGACCUUUCACUGCGAAAUUAUCUGUAACUCCCGGUUGUAAAUUCCAAAUCUUGUAAAACUUGAUUUGCAUAAAACUAGAUUGACAAAGCUUUCUAAUGACACCUAUUUUGUAUAAAUUGGAGCAUAAUUGGUUAUCCAAAUAGUUCAAACAAUGUUCCUAUCAAAUUCUGCC
rnacentral:lncRNA from 1 species